rnacentral:tRNA from 2 species
GCGGGGGUCGCCUAGCCUGGUAGGGCGUGGGAUUGCUAAUCCCAUGUCCGUAAGGACCCGUGGGUUCAAAUCCCAUCCCCCGCG